UAAGGAAUAUUGCUCAAUGGGAGAAAUCCUGAAGCAGCAACGCCGCGUGGAGGAUGAAGGGUCUAUGACUUGUAAACUCCUGUAAAGAAGGAAAAAAUUCCCAUUUGAUGGGAGAUGAUGGUACUUCUGGAGUAAGCCCCGGCUAACUACGUGCCAGCAGCCGCGGUAAUACGUAGGGGGCAAGCGUUGUCCGGAUUUACUGGGUGUAAAGGGUGCUCAGGCGGAUUUGUAAGUCAGAGGUGAAAUCUUACAGCUUAACUGUGAAACUGCCUUUGAUACUGCAAGCCUAGAGUAUGGAGGAAGGUGAUGGAAUAUCUGGUGUAGCAGUGAAAUGCGUAGAAAUCAGAUAGAACACGAAUGGCGAAGGCAGUCACUUGGUCCAUUA
rnacentral:rRNA from 1 species